CAGGGCCUCUUUUAACAUAUAGACUGGGGAGGAAAUGUCCCCCCCCCCAGCUCUCUUACUGGUCCCUCCAGUCGGCAAUCUUGUCCCCCCCCUGUGAGGUCCCUAAGAACUACCUGCAGUAGGUGGUCAACCAGCAAUUAUGUAUCAAAGUGAGAAAACGAUGUUAAGUUGUUAACAUUUCUGAAUCUGACCAUCAUCUGCAGGCCCGUAACAUGCGGACGUUGAUUAAAAAUGGCUAAAAUUUAAGGCAAUCAAAUAAUUAUAUGCAUAUUCAGCCGUAUCCCCCCCCUACAACGUUGUUGGUACAAAUGUCGCAAUAGUAGGAUCGACUUUAUGAAGUAUAUAUGAAAAUGUUUCAAAAAAUAAUUAAUUU